rnacentral:rRNA from 1 species
AGAGUUUGAUCCUGGCUCAGGACGAACGCUGGCGGCGUGCUUAACACAUGCAAGUCGAACGCUGAAGCCUAGCUUGCUGGGUGGAUGAGUGGCGAACGGGUGAGUAACACGUGAGUAACCUGCCCCCUUCUUUGGGAUAACGCCCGGAAACGGGUGCUAAUACUGGAUAUUCACUGAUCUUCGCAUGGGGGUUGGUGGAAAGGUUUUUUCUGGUGGGGGAUGGGCUCGCGGCCUAUCAGCUUGUUGGUGGGGUGAUGGCCUACCAAGGCUUUGACGGGUAGCCGGCCUGAGAGGGUGACCGGUCACAUUGGGACUGAGAUACGGCCCAGACUCCUACGGGAGGCAGCAGAAGGG